CAAUAGCGUAUAUUAAAGUUGUUGCAGUUAAAAGCUCGUAGUUGGAUUUGUGGCGUACGGUGUGUUCCGGGCACUUGUUGUCUGAGUAACCUGCCGUUGCCAUCCUUGGGUGGAACCUGUGUGGCAUUAGGUUGUCGUGCAGGGGAUGCCCAUCAUUUACUUGUGAAAAAUUAAGAGUGUUCAAAGACAGGCUUAUGCCGUUGAAUAUAUUAGCAUGGAAUAAUAAGAUAGGACUUGUUUGCUAUUUUGUUGGUUUGCGCAAAUAGGUAAUGAUUAAUAGGGACAGUUGGGGGUAGUUCGUAUUCCAUUGUCAGAGGUGAAAUUCUUGGAUUUUGGUAAGACGAACUACUGCGAAAGCAUUUACCAAGGAUGUUUUCAUUAAUCAAGAACGAAAGUUAGGGGAGUCGAAGAUGAUUAGAUA
rnacentral:rRNA from 1 species